rnacentral:rRNA from 1 species
UACGUAGGGUGCGAGCGUUAAUCGGAAUUACUGGGCGUAAAGCGUGCGCAGGCGGGCUUUUAAGCCAGACGUGAAAUCCCCGGGCUUAACCUGGGAAUGGCAUUUGGGACUGCAAGGCUUGAGUGCGGCAGAGGAGACUGGAAUUCCCGGUGUAGCAGUGAAAUGCGUAGAUAUCGGGAGGAAUACCGAUGGCGAAGGCAGGUCUCUGGGCUGACACUGACGCUCAUGCACGAAAGCGUGGGGAGCAAACAGG